rnacentral:rRNA from 1 species
AGCGAACGCUGGCGGCAGGCUUAACACAUGCAAGUCGAACGGGCGUAGCAAUACGUCAGUGGCAGACGGGUGAGUAACGCGUGGGAACGUACCUUUUGGUUCGGAACAACACAGGGAAACUUGUGCUAAUACCAGAUAAGCCCUUACGGGGAAAGAUUUAUCGCCAAAAGGUCGGCCCGCGUCUGAUUAGCUAGUUGGUGAGGUAACGGCUCACCAAGGCGACGAUCAGUAGCUGGUCNGAGAGGAUGAUCAGCCACAUUGGGACUGAGACACGGCCCAAACUCCUACGGGAGGCAGCAGGUGGGGAAUAUUGGACAAUGGGCGCAAGCCUGAUCCAGCAACGCCGCGUGGAGGAUGAAGGUCUUCGGAUCGUAAACUCCUGUCAGACGGGACGAAGGUAGCGGGGCAAAUAGUCCUGCUGCUUGACGGUACUGUCAGAGGAACGCCCCGGCUAACUCCGUGCCAGCAGCCGCGGUAAU